rnacentral:rRNA from 1 species
CCUACGGGGGGCAGCAGUGAGGAAUAUUGGUCAAUGGACGGAAGUCUGAACCAGCCAAGUAGCGUGAAGGAUGACUGCCCUAUGGGUUGUAAACUUCUUUUAUAUGGGAAUAAAACGUUCCACGUGUGGGAUUUUGUAUGUACCAUAUGAAUAAGGAUCGGCUAACUCCGUGCCAGCAGCCGCGGUAAUACGGAGGAUCCGAGCGUUAUCCGGAUUUAUUGGGUUUAAAGGGAGCGUAGGUGGAUUGUUAAGUCAGUUGUGAAAGUUUGCGGCUCAACCGUAAAAUUGCAGUUGAAACUGGCAGUCUUGAGUACAGUAGAGGUGGGCGGAAUUCGUGGUGUAGCGGUGAAAUGCUUAGAUAUCACGAAGAACUCCGAUUGCGAAGGCAGUUCACUGGACUGCAACUGACACUGAGGCUCGAAAGUGUGGGUAUCAAACAGGAUUAGAUACCCGUGUAGUC